rfam:Candidatus Moranbacteria bacterium RIFCSPLOWO2_12_FTLL_48_12 rifcsplowo2_12_scaffold_2620, whole genome shotgun sequence.
GGACAAUUAGCUCAGUUGGUUAGAGCGUCACAUUGACAUUGUGAAGGUCACUGGUUCGAAUCCAGUAUUGUCCA